AAGGACACGGUUUAAGCCUCCUACAUUCAGAGGCUAUUGCUUCAAGUAAUGCCUCUAGCAGAUGCAGGAAGCAACCUAAUAGCCACAGAUUUCUCUGCGACACAGGUUCCCAUUACGGAGAAGUCAAAGUCAAGAGAUACACACCACACCUAAAGCAGAGGAGAUGCACUUCUUCAAAACUGACACAGCUAGACUGAAGACUUCUAAGUGUGAGAAAGGCCUCAAAUACUUUGCUGGAAGGGAAAGAGGGGAAAGUAGAGCAAAAGGCAGGACAGCAAGUAACAUGAGUAAUUUGAAAAGAUUUUGCAGGGUAGGUGGGCAAUAAAUUAUAAAUCACCCAGCCCACAGAGAUUUAUGAGAGAGAGUCUGGCAGCAAGGCCAAGUAACUCCUUUUCUGGAGUGGGAUAGGCCAGAAGCACAAGGAGAAAGACUGAAACUCCUGUUUCAUGGAAAAGUAAAAAAACCCUCAGAGAAGACAGGACUACUCAAAAAGCUCAGACUUCCUGGAGCUAUACGCCUUGAGCUGAAGGCUGAAGGCUGUGCUGGUACCUGUGGACAAAACUGCCUCCCAGAUGCAGCACUGCUUCUGGAGGGCUGGAAGAUGCCCGACCUUACUUGUCCAAGUCACAUCACAUCCUCGUCCUCAAGGGCCAGCAAGGAUUUACUGCUUUCCCUGGGGUGCGCAGAGCCUCGUGUAUGACAGAGCAAGGAGCAGUGAUGGACGUGUUCCCCAGUACGGCUGAAUCCCUUCUCCCUCUCCAAAAUCAUCCCCCUGGUCUCGGGGACCACAGCCCUGCAGGGUGGCACUUGGGAACCCCCAGGGCCUGCCACAUGCUGCGCCAGCGGCCACACAAAACAGCGUUCUCAAAUCAAAAUACGGUUUACUACUAACAGAAGUUCUGAAAAAGAUCACUAGCUCCUCAGUCUGGUGCUUCCACCGCAAUUUAACAGGCAUCAAAUGACAAGAUAACAAACUGAUAAACCUCAAUCCAAAGGAGAAAUCUCUCUACUUUUGUUUAAAGCAGAAACUUUCCUAUUCAUCUCCCUCUUAGAAAAUCCAGCAUAAAUACACACAACAGUGCUUUUCCUAUCCUCUUCAUUUAAAAAAAACAACCCACCACAAUGUGAUGCAGCCUCAAGGCCACAGCUUUCUAGAAGAAAAGGCCAAGUGAAACAGUUUUUCCUCAAGAGUUUGUCUGACUGCAGAAAUAGGAUCACACCAUGCAAUGAGCAGCUGGACAAGUGCCUUAGAUCACACACCACAGAUGCUUUGUGGCCCUCCAUGAAGUUAACACAAGGAAGUGCAACCACUGCAGCCAGCGCAGUAGAGAGUGGAAGUGGGAAGGAAAUACAAGGACGCUGCUGCAAUUUUUAGGCCGGCCGUAUUUCUGCCUGGAAAAGGUGAGAGCGUCUGGCCACCACAAUGGCCAGGUAAUAUAUCAAGCAAACAAAAACCCUGUAUCAACUUUCUGCGAAGGUGGAUGAGUGACCGGGUGGCAGAGCAGCUGGGAAGCAAUGUAUCAACUGGAAAACUACCAUGAACAAAAACCCAAGCAUUACCACAAAAGCAUGAAAACCCAGGGGGAGGGAAGCAGCUUCUGUGAAAAUACUGUAAUAGGUUACCUUUAUGUGGAUGACUUCAUGCCCGCCUAGACUGAGUCAGAGAACUGCUUUGCGGUCCAUCUGUCUGCCAACUCCUGGCUAAACUUGAACAUCCUGUGACUAAUGCAUCAAAGCCCCACAAGGAAGAAGAAAAGAGGUUUCAUUGCCCUGCUAUUCCACCACACUGCCAGGCUGCAAGAAGGAAACAUGCUGGAAGAGGACCCCUUUUUCCUCUCCUUCCAGAGCAGAGCUUGGCAAGGACACAACCUGGGAAAAGAUGUGAAGCUCAGUAAGAGAUCCCAAGGAACAGCCAUCACCACAGCGCAUAGGUACAACUCCGUUUUAAAAGCCACCAUAUGCUAACUCGUGCCUGCAAGCCUCUUAUCCUGGCUCCAGCUACCCACACUAGAAGUCUGUCUGGCAUAGCAGCCCAAGGGAGACACAGACCACCAUCACCAAGUUUAACAAAGCAAGGAACCAGGCAGGGAAGCACAAAGUCCUGGUUGUCUGGCUCACUCCCUGCAGUGGAAAUAUGUGGCUAAAGGAAAAAUGCAAUGAAGCUGCUACUAGCCCUAACAUUUAAGGCUUCAUUUUACUUCACCUGCAUACCAGGAGCUUUAACAAGACUGGGCCUUCAUCCCCAAAGAGCACACACUCCUUGUUUAGAGACUUUUUCAUCCUUUUCCAAAGAAAAUGAAGAAGCUUUCAGUGAGCCAAAACCUGUGUGGAGAUUUUCAGUCACCAGAGGCAGCAGCAGGUGCCUUGAUUCCUGCUCAAGUCAGCAGAAAUCAGGUGCCUAACCCAUCCAUGCCUCUGAAAUCCCCUCAGUAAUAGCUUAAUGCAACAACAGGGAGAAGCAAAUGGGUUUUGUCUAUAGGUUGCUUCUCAAACAAACAAUACAGAUUGCAUGUGACAGGCUGCUGCGCGAGUUUGACUGUAUGUGUCUACGUGCAAGUGGAAGAGCUAAUGGUGAAGUAUGCCAACUUCAGAAGGGCGUAUUGCUUCCAGUUAUUUUUAAUAAUAAAAGGCAUCCCAGAGUAGUCCCCAUUAUGCAAGACCCCUUGAUUUGAGCAACCUGCAGUUUGGAAGCAGCAUGUGCCACUGCCAGCCCACAGCCAGAGACUCCAUGGGCCACACAGCUCAAACAUCAGGGCUGGCCUUGCCAGGGGCAGUGCACUAAUGAGACUCUUGUUCUACUGUACUAAGAGCUAAUGCCAGUCACCCCCAAGUCUUCUUCCUUCUCUUUAAAGACAUUUGUCUUCAUGUCCCAAUGCAUCUGUUUGCAGCAAUGUCACACCUCUGCUGCUACAGCUGUAAAGGGUGUACCUGCCAAGCAGGGCACAAAACAUGCUUGGAGGAACAUGUCCUUCAGAGGCAACACUGACUCAUGAAGGUCUCUUCUCCUACUCCCAAGCCUAUCCUUGCGCGCUGGCCCAUGGAAUUUCUUGGGAGAUGCUUAGGUAGGUGCAUGAGUGAGUAACCAGUCCAGUGUAAAGAUACUCCUGAUUUUCUCCUGGUGUAUCAUAUUCCCCCAUCUAGAGAGCUGCCUGCCUACAGACAGUUCCACCACUAUGGUGUGAGCACAGGCUCAUGGGUGGCACUUUUUUUUUUUUCCCACCUCCUUCCUAACAAAUUUUCUCUGUGAACUGACUUGCAGAACAGCAGAAGAACUGACAUUGCUGAGGACAGGGAGCAAAUAGGAAGACAUGGGCGAUGCAGGGAAACAAGGGAGGAUGCAGGACAAUCAAAGACUUUCUUAGGGUCAGCUUACACUGCCGUGGAAGACAUGGCUGUCAGGAGCAGUGGUCCUCUCUGUGCCCUGCAGUGAAGCUAGGCCUCAGUGAGCAUGGGAGCAUGCCCUAGGAAGUUACAGCCAUGGCUUCAGAUGAAAUCAACCACCCAGCUCAAAUUCAAGGCUGCUUUUUUUUUUUUUAAUGUUUUGUUUCACUUUUUAAAAGUGAAGAAAGAGCAAAAUACAAAAUUUAGAUCCAAAUCUUCCUGGGUAGGGUGCCUGCCUGGACUAAGGCAGGAGGCCAGGCCAGGCACCUAUUAAUUACAAAUCUCACUUGGACUCAAAAGCUUUCAAAAGGCUCUUCUGCUCUUAACUUGAUAGCACUGUGAUUGAACCAUCAUUUCCCUCCCAGCCCUUCAUCUUCUGCAAUUCUCCCUGGGUUGGCAUUUUGAAGUGGUUUUUUUAGUUCACAAAAAUAUUCAAAGUGACACCUGGAUUUGGCAAUACUGGAGAAGCCUUAUGCAGAGGGUUAUGUUCUCACACUGAGCAUCUGGGGCAGAACAUCCAGCAAGGUGUUGGUGUGCUAAUAUGAAAUUAGCUCAUAAGAGCUAGCACCUCCCUCAGCUGUUAGCAUUUAAAAGAGGUCAAGGCUUUCAGAGGGACCCAAGAUAAUUACAUGCUCCAGACUCACUGAAUUUCAAUUAGAUUUGUGCACUCAUUUCCUUCAGGUUCUUCUAAAAUCAAACCCAUCUCUUACACCUAUAAUCAUACUUAAGUUUUCAAGCACCUUUCUCCCUUUGUGUGGAUGCAAGUCUUUACUGGGGAAAAUCUUUUGUGUGGAUUAUUAACUUCAAACAUACUUAAGUAUUUCUAGAAGUAAACACAACUUAAGUGCAUUUAGGUUUAUGCAGGUACUUGCCUGCUUUUGUGAAGAGUGAUGAACUUAAUUACAAGCCUACCUAUUUUCUAAACAGAGGCCUUUCACACAUCUAGGAUUACUUUUUGGAUUUUUUUUUUUAAACAAGACGUUCACAAAACACUAGAGUGUUUAUAAAUUUGGUUAGUUUUAUAUCUCUGUACUACUCUCAGACUGGAAUACAGGAGUACAGAAUAUAAUUAGUUAUUUUUAAUAUUUUCUUCUGAAGAAAACCAUUUACACAUACCCAGUUUCACUACAAAUUUAAGCAGUAUCCGAUUAGCACUAAUUGUUGGAUAUGCCAUAUUACUGUGCAAUACGCUGAUCUUCUAAAACCUUGAGUUGUAAUCUUUAAUAAUCUGUCUCUAAACAGAGGUCUAAACUCGGCUUCUCCAUGUAUUAUGUCUUACCAUAUUUGACUUGUUAAUAAUCUUCCCAAAAGCUGCACUGAAAGGGCAGUAAAAUGUGAAGAACCAUGCUAAGAUAGACAUAUUUGGAUUCAUCUCAUUAGAAAUCUGUAAUGCUAACUUCCAUACUCUCAGUAAUGCUUAGAUGAAAGACAGGCGGUAAAAUUCUUCCCAAUGAAAUGUGAGGAAGUCCUUGACAGAGCCUUACAUAAGACUUACAACAAUCAAAAAGCACAAGUACAGCAGACAUUGAAUGACCAUCUUCAUGUACAUCUAUAUCCAAUGUCAAGUCUGAGGAACUUGUACUUUGAAUCUUUAAAAGCACCGAGCUUGGCCAGAGCGCUAUUGGGAGAACGCAGGACAGGAGUAAGGCAAGGACACUGACUGAGGUCAGCUCGCCUGCUAACACACUCCAUUAAAAUUUCAGCUGCACCACAGUGGAGGUUUUAUGCAGAAUGUGAAGCCGCUCUGCCCUUUUGCACAUCUGCGACACAAUGCGCUAUUAAGCAAAAUUAACUGAUUAUGUAGCAAAUAUGGCAAAACGAAGCACCGACUCCUCUGACAGCUCAGUCUCCUUUUUAAUGAGGCACAGAACAAUCUGUUACCAGGGUUAGUGCUGCAGACAGUGUUUAUGGUAAUGGGUCACAGUUCAUCUAUUUUUUUAUAGAGGUAUCAUACAUUAACUGCUGAGCCUACCAGGGGCACAAUACCUGGCUAUGUUUCUGGCUAUUAACAAACUUGUACAAAGGACCUCCAACAGUUUAGUACAUUUAAUGACGUUUAUUCUAGUUCUCCUAAUUUGUUCCAGAGGCCCCCACCUUGCCUUAUAAACACUCAGUCCAACAUAUUCACAGCUGUAUGGCUCAUCCUCCUCUGUUACCUUGAACUUUCCUUGUCUCUAGCAUGUUGUGCUAGCCAUGCUUAACUUAUCAGGCCAAGGAGUAAGCCAAGGAGUGGUUGAGGAACAUUGCUAGGAAACCCUAUAGGCAACUGCAGAAUCAGCUAAACUGCGCACAAAAUAGGUCACUUCUGCAUUAUCAAAUGUACUUAGUGCAAUUACAAUCACAGAGAACCAUUUUGAACUGAGAAAAAUAUGGUAAGGAAGAGAGAAGAAGCAGCAACAGCAAAUGUGAAGUCCUAUUUCCCCACAAGAGAACGCCAUUCACAGGUCAGCCUGUUUGGAAAAAAAAUAGGCUUUUAAAAUGAACAUGGCUUUUAUCACAUAAUUAAAGGCUGCAAGAGGACAUAUUUAGCUUUUCUAGUACUGUGAUGAAUAUCGGAAGCAAGAGCAUGGAAUAAAGAACAAAAAAUCUGCAACAACAGCUCUAGAAAGGAACCAGAUGGCAGCUGCUACCUGUGCAAGAACUGAGUCGAAAGGCAAUCCUUUCCAAGAAUCUCACUGGCUUUCCACAAAGCCUCCUUAUCUUUUGAAACUUCCCAGAAAAGCAAGCUGGAAAUAGGAAGAACAUGUUAUACAGGGCUUUUAGUCUGUAAGACAGAGCAAGAAACAGUUUUCAAUUCCCAGUUCUGGAGGGGCCAAGUAUCUUUGAAAUAAGGUCUCUGUAUUCUGUCCUCCACUGACCUUCAACACUGACUCUUCUGCCUGGGUAUCCUGCUUAAAAUUCAGACCCAACUAACCCUAGUGAAUAACUCUCACAAAGUGAGGAUUUUCCUCCAAGGAGACAGAAAGUCUUGGAUUAAACAUAUCCUGACAUGUGAAUGUCUUGCAUUAACAAAGCAGGUUGACCUGGAACGUGAGGAUGACAAGUGCCUUAUUGAGCAUCCCUUCCUGCACAAAGCAGUCCACAGGCUGCACUUCCUCCUCUUGCAGACAGAAUCCCUUGCAAUCCAUUACAGGCUUGAGUGUCUCAUUAUGUGGAAACACAAACGCAGCACAAUGCCUUUAACAGUAGUAAGGGCCCUCCUUGAAAGCUUCGAUUCAAAACAUUUUGAAUGAGACAAUAUAGUGAAGGUGUGCCAUGAGGGGUACAACUUUUAUUGUGCAGCAUGAAGCCUGACAGGAAAGCAUCCUGAGGUAUGGGGUAUUUAAUGUCCAUCAAUUUUUUUCAUGUCUAUUAUCAAAUUAUUUCAUGUCAAUUGAAAUAACUCUCCACUCCAUUCUUAAGACACUGUCCAAACAGGCCAUACACAUUAUUGAAAACAACAAGAGUUCUUAAUUUUGUUUGCAGCAUGGUUUCUUGUGCAGGGUUUUCAUCAUCUAAACAAAUGGGUUUCGUAAAUGAAAAAAUAUGAGAAAAUAAAACUCUUCUGAUUUCUUGUUUGUUUCUAGCACCUCACUUGAGAAAUACCAGUCUAAAGAUUACAUAUAGCAUAGUACUUAUGCAGAAAGAGAUUGUGACACCACACAAAACUAAUUCUUCCAUCUCCUCCUAAUCCCUCUGAGAAUGCAGAAUAUUUACUUUUAUCGCUGCCAUCGCUCAGCUUCCCAGCCCCAACUGCCUGUUACAGUAGUACAGUAUGUACUGUUCUGAGUUGCUGAGUCAAAGAAAAAAUAGCUCAAGUAAUUAGAAAACAAACAAACAAAAAUAGAGUUUUCUUUCGCUCCCCUCCUCCUCAAAUAAAGCAACAUCACAGACUGUGAAUCACACUGCAGCCAUCAUAUGUCCAUAUCAAAAGCUUGUACUUGCUAUUUCUUUUGCUGUGCGUGUAGACAAGAGAAAAAUGUUUCUCUGAGAAUAAGUCAUCAUAAAGUACCUGCUGAGU